rnacentral:lncRNA from 1 species
UAAUACAUGCAUGUUCUGGAGUAGUAUAAUGCUACAGUCGGUUCUUCACCACAUGAAGACAAACAAAAGACAAAUGAGGAGCAGAGAAGAAGUCACACAACCAUCCUUCGCGAACGGCCAGAGAAGGACCAAUGCCUACAUCCAUCCAUCACGAGUUCACGACCUCUCUACACCUUGCCCCGCCUCGCUCGCGGCGUGCUGGCCACCGGCCCAUGUCGCUUCGCUCUGCCGCGCGCCCGCCGUGGCUCACCUCGCCUCGCCCUGAGCCGGCGACGCCCUGUCUCGUCUGCCUCAGGUGCUGCACCUGCCUCCGUUGUACUCCUGCCGUGGCUCACAUCGCCUCUCCAGCAAUCGCCACACCCCGGCCGGCUCUACUCCGCCUCG